UUCUAAAAGAAAAUAAUUUUUAGUAAAACCUGCUCAAUGAAUUUUCAAUAGCCGCAGCUUAUGUGCUAAGGUAGCAUAAUCAUUUGUCUUUUAAUUAAAGACUAGAAUGAAAGGUUUAACAUUUUAUUUCUUUUAUAUUUGUAAAAAUUUAAAUUUAAUUAAAUGUAAAAAUUCAUCUAUAAACAAAAAAGACGACAAGACCCUGUCGAACUUUACUCUUAGUUUAGCUGGGGCAGCAACUUAAUAAAAAUUUUAAUUAUUAUUCCAAAAAUGACCUAAUUCUAUUUAAUUAAUUGAACAAGUUACCGCAGGGAUAACAGCGUUAUUCUUAUUUUAAGCUCAUAUAUAAAUAAGAGUUUGCGACCUCGAUGUUGAAUUAAUUUAUCUUUUUGAUGCAGAAGUCUUAAAAGUAGGUCUGUUCGACCUUUAAUAAAUUACAU
rnacentral:rRNA from 1 species